rnacentral:rRNA from 1 species
AUUACACUAAAACCGCCAAAGAACUACGAGCGCAAGCUUAAAACUUAAAGGACUUGACGGUGUCCCAUCUACCUAGAGGAGCCUGUUCUAUAAUCGAUAAUCCUCGUUACACCUUACCUUUUUUAGCUAAUCAGUCUGUAUACUUCCGUCGUAAGCUUACCAUAUGAAUGCAUUAGUAAGUUAAAUAGUAAUAACAUUACCAAAACGUCAGGUCAAAGUGCAGCCUACAAAAAGGAAGAAAUGGGCUACAAUUUCUAUAUAAGAACAAACGAAUUUAAGUAAUUGAAAACUACUAUGAAGGCGGAUUUAGAAGUAAAGCGAAAAUAAAGUGUUCGCUUUAACAAUGCUCUGGGACGUGUACACACCGCCCGUCACCCUCA